GUUUGAUCCUGGCUCAGGAUGAACGCUGGCGGCGUGCUUAACACAUGCGAGUCGAACGCACCUUCGGGUGAGUGGCGCACGGGUGAGUAACGCGUGGGAAUCUGCCCUUAGGAGGGGGAUAACGGCUGGAAACGGCCGCUAAUACCCCAUAUGCCGAGAGGUGAAACGAAUUUCGCCUGAGGAUGAGCCCGCGUCUGAUUAGCUAGUUGGUGGGGUAAGAGCCCACCAAGGCGACGAUCAGUAGCUGGUCUGAGAGGAUGAUCAGCACACUGGGACUGAGACACGGCCCAGACUCCUACGGGAGGCAGCAGUGGGGAAUUUUCCGCAAUGGGCGAAAAGCCUGACGGAGCAACGCCGCGUGAGGGAUGAAGGCCUCUGGGCUGUAAACCUCUUUUCUCAAGGAAGAAGACAUGACGGUACUUGAGGAAUAAGCCACGGCUAAUUCCGUGCCAGCAGCCGCGGUAAUACGGGAGUGGCAAGCGUUAUCCGGAAUUAUUGGGCGUAAAGCGUCCGCAGGCGGCUCUGUAAGUCUGUUGUUAAAGCGUGGAGCUCAACUCCAUCUCAGCAAUGGAAACUACAGGGCUUGAGUGUGGUAGGGGCAGAGGGAAUUCCCGGUGUAGCGGUGAAAUGCGUAGAUAUCGGGAAGAACACCAGUGGCGAAGGCGCUCUGCUGGGCCAUAACUGACGCUCAUGGACGAAAGCCAGGGGAGCGAAAGGGAUUAGAUACCCCUGUAGUCCUGGCCGUAAACGAUGAACACUAGGUGUCGGGGGAAUCGACCCCCUCGGUGUCGUAGCCAACGCGUUAAGUGUUCCGCCUGGGGAGUACGCACGCAAGUGUGAAACUCAAAGGAAUUGACGGGGGCCCGCACAAGCGGUGGAGUAUGUGGUUUAAUUCGAUGCAACGCGAAGAACCUUACCAGGGUUUGACAUCCUGCGAAUCCCUUGGAAACUUGGGAGUGCCUUCGGGAGCGCAGAGACAGGUGGUGCAUGGCUGUCGUCAGCUCGUGUCGUGAGAUGUUGGGUUAAGUCCCGCAACGAGCGCAACCCACGUCUUUAGUUGCCAGCAUUCAGUUGGGCACUCUAGAGAGACCGCCGGUGAUAAACCGGAGGAAGGUGUGGAUGACGUCAAGUCAUCAUGCCCCUUACAUCCUGGGCUACACACGUACUACAAUGCUACGGACAGAGGGCAGCAAGCUCGCGAGAGUUAGCAAAUCCCAUAAACCGUGGCUCAGUUCAGAUCGUAGGCUGCAACUCGCCUACGUGAAGGAGGAAUCGCUAGUAAUCGCAGGUCAGCAUACUGCGGUGAAUACGUUCCCGGGCCUUGUACACACCGCCCGUCACACCAUGGAAGUUGGCCAUGCCCGAAGUCGUU
rnacentral:rRNA from 1 species